UCUUGGUCAUUUAGAGGAAGUAAAAGUCGUAACAAGGUCUCCGUUGGUGAACCAGCGGAGGGAUCAUUACAGAGUUGCAAAACUCCCUAAACCAUUGUGAACGUUACCUAUACCGUUGCUUCGGCGGGCGGCCCCGGGGUUUACCCCCCGGGCGCCCCUGGGCCCCACCGCGGGCGCCCGCCGGAGGUCACCAAACUCUUGAUAAUUUAUGGCCUCUCUGAGUCUUCUGUACUGAAUAAGUCAAAACUUUCAACAACGGAUCUCUUGGUUCUGGCAUCGAUGAAGAACGCAGCGAAAUGCGAUAAGUAAUGUGAAUUGCAGAAUUCAGUGAAUCAUCGAAUCUUUGAACGCACAUUGCGCCCGCCAGCAUUCUGGCGGGCAUGCCUGUUCGAGCGUCAUUUCAACCAUCAAGCCCCCGGGCUUGUGUUGGGGACCUGCGGCUGCCGCAGGCCCUGAAAAGCAGUGGCGGGCUCGCUGUCGCACCGAGCGUAGUAGCAUACAUCUCGCUCUGGUCGCGCCGCGGGUUCCGGCCGUUAAACCACCUUUUAACCCAAGGUUGACCUCGGAUCAGU
rnacentral:rRNA from 1 species